GUGAAUCAUCAAAUUUUUGAACGCAAAUUGCACUUUCGGGUAUUCCGGAAAGUAUGCCUGUUUGAGGAUCAGUGAAAUAAAAAUCGGUGUUGUUUCUGCAUUUCUUGGUGACGCGCCGGAAUUGGGCCGUCUUGCCUUCGGGUAAGUGACUUAAAAAUUUGCAUGAUUUUCGAACUUAUUUAAUUUGCUGACUGACGUUUGAU
rnacentral:misc_RNA from 1 species